rnacentral:lncRNA from 1 species
GAGGAAAGACAAGAAAACCCCAGGUGAUAUCACACUCCCUGGCUAACUGAUGAUCCAGCACCUCCAGGCUCACCUCUGGUGCCCCCAGCAAGGCUGUGGCACAGCUCCAUCAGUUAAACCAAAUUUGUGCCAUUUCCUCUGAUGGCAGAACAAAUGGUCCUUCCCCGUCGUGAGCUGCCAAGCCUGAGGGAUGCUACAGAAAAGAAUCCUGCACCUCCCGCAUUUCGGGGGAAAAUCAGCUGGAGUUCCUAGAUUUUCCUGCAGAGCCCUCACAGGAUUCAACCCUCCAGGCUGGAAAAUCCUUAGUGCGCGCUGACAACCUCUGCAGCUCAGGCAGAGGCGAGAGAUGAUUAAGACUGGCUGAAAUCUCCCAGGACUCUGACAUCUGAGAGGCCCCAUGCAAGGCAGAGAACCACCCCGGGCUGCUCCUUGCAACCUGCAACUCCCCUCACCUUAGCACGGAGCUGAAGGGAGACCAGGGACCCAGCGGGGCCAGGAACCAGGUCACCGCUGCUGGUUUCCAGGCAGCAAAGGUUUGGAAGAGCAGAGGAUCAUUUAGCAGAGCGACAGUGAAGGUUCAGAGCAGAGCCUUCAAAUUACACGCUACAGAGCACUUUUCCUGCCUAAAAGGUCUCUGAAAUGACUGUGGCGGCUCUGAAACGAAGCACUCUGUAUGCAAUUGUUCCCUGGGGCUUGCAGCGGAGACAGAGCCGGGAGAGGAGAGCAGCUUGAAGUCCAUUUUCAUCAGGCAGUGACAGUCACCAGGAGAAGCAGCCUCAGCACCGGCAGGCACCACACAGAGCCAACCUGUGCCUCGCCCGCCGCAGGUCCCCCCACCCUCUGCCACCAGCACACAGGUGACAGCACCCACAUCCGCUCAGCCACCUGGGGCACACACACUGCCACCCUGGGAAAGGCAGCUGUGGGGUACAAGCUCUCCACAAAGUCCUGGCACAUAGCAGGGAACCAUUUCUGCACCAUCAGAGAGGCUCCAGCGAUGCCAGGGGCAGCUGGAGCUGAGCUGGGAGAGCCCUUGGAAGGGCACCACCAGUGA